AUGAGCCAAGAGCAUCAUCUAGUUAUUCACGAGCCUGCUACCACAAAGGCUCCUGAAGAUGAAGAAGUACCAGUUGUCGACCCCACCACAGCUGAAGAUAUUGAUCAUGAAGACAAUGUUGAAGAUGAUGAAGUCCUUCCUCAAAUUGAGCACCACACGGUAUCAUCGCCUGUUCAUACAAACAGCGAACUCAUCAGUAUUGGUCAUCCUUUGACGCCAAUCACUCAGGAUGCUUCGUGGGCCGAUCGCCCUCAACAAGACACCCCCAUUCUUGAUGACACUCCCAGAACUCCACCACCUCAAGACACCACUCCAGUGAUUGAAGAUGAUAGCUACAUGGUACAGACCACUCCAUCUUCACAGGCGUCGCCCGCUUUUCGCAGGCUUCGCAAAGGCCCCAGGUCACAGGUCACCAUGUCGAGCAUUCUAGAAGGGCACGUGCAACAAAGCUCGGUAGCACGUCAAGUGUUCCCUGAAGCCACACCAACUGUGAAUGUCUCUGAGUCUUAA
rnacentral:rRNA from 1 species